rnacentral:rRNA from 1 species
GAUGAACGCUGGCGGCGUGCCUAAUACAUGCAAGUCGAGCGAACAGACGAGGAGCUUGCUCCUCUGACGUUAGCGGCGGACGGGUGAGUAACACGUGGAUAACCUACCUAUAAGACUGGGAUAACUUCGGGAAACCGGAGCUAAUACCGGAUAAUAUAUUGAACCGCAUGGUUCAAUAGUGAAAGACGGUUUUGCUGUCACUUAUAGAUGGAUCCGCGCCGCAUUAGCUAGUUGGUAAGGUAACGGCUUACCAAGGCAACGAUGCGUAGCCGACCUGAGAGGGGGAUCGGCCACACGGGAACUGAGACACGGUCCAGACUCCUACGGGAGGCAGCAGUAGGGAAUCUUCCGCAAUGGGCGAAAGCCUGACGGAGCAACGCCGCGUGAGUGAUGAAGGUCUUCGGAUCGUAAAACUCUGUUAUUAGGGAAGAACAAAUGUGUAAGUAACUAUGCACGUCUUGACGGUACCUAAUCAGAAAGCCACGGCUAACUACGU